rnacentral:rRNA from 1 species
CCUACGGGGGACAGCAGUCGAGAAUCAUUCACAAUGGGGGAAACCCUGAUGGUGCGACGCCGCGUGGGGGAAUGAAGGUCUUCGGAUUGUAAACCCCUGUCAUGUGGGAGCAAAUUAAAAAGAUAGUACCACAAGAGGAAGAGACGGCUAACUCUGUGCCAGCAGCCGCGGUAAUACAGAGGUCUCAAGCGUUGUUCGGAAUCACUGGGCGUAAAGCGUGCGUAGGCUGUUUCGUAAGUCGUGUGUGAAAGGCGCGGGCUCAACCCGCGGACGGCACAUGAUACUGCGAGACUAGAGUAAGGGAGGGGGAACCGGAAUUCUCGGUGUAGCAGUGAAAUGCGUAGAUAUCGAGAGGAACACUCGUGGCGAAGGCGGGUUCCUGGACAUUAACUGACGCUGAGGCACGAAGGCCAGGGGAGCGAAAGGGAUUAGAUACCCCUGUAGUC